UCCCCACAACCGCGGAGAGCC
rnacentral:misc_RNA from 1 species